rnacentral:rRNA from 1 species
AUACGUAGGGUGCGAGCGUUGUCCGGAAUUACUGGGCGUAAAGAGCUCGUAGGUGGUUUGUCGCGUCGUCUGUGAAACUCCGGGGCUUAACUCCGGGCGUGCAGGCGAUACGGGCAUAACUUGAGUACUGUAGGGGAGACUGGAAUUCCUGGUGUAGCGGUGAAAUGCGCAGAUAUCAGGAGGAACACCGGUGGCGAAGGGGGGUCUCUGGGCAGUAACUGACGCGGAGGAGCGAAAGCAUGGGUAGCGAACAGGAUUAGAUACCCUGGUAGUCCAUGCCGUAAACGGUGGGCGCUAGGUGUAGGGGUCUUCCACGACUUCUGUGCCGUAGCUAACGCAUUAAGCGCCCCGCCUGGGGAGUACGGCCGCAAGGCUAAAACUCAAAUGAAUUGACGGGG